ensembl:snRNA U6 U6 spliceosomal RNA
GUGCUCGAUUUGGCAGCACAUAUACUAAAAUUGGAAGAUACAGAGAUGAUUAGCAUGGCCCCUAAGGAUAACACAUGAAGUAUUCCAUAUUUGA